AGUGGCGGACGGGUGAGUAACGCGUGAGCAACCUGCCUUUCAGAGGGGGAUAACGUUUGGAAACAGACGCUAAUACCGCAUAAGAUAGUAGUAUCGCAUGGUACGGCUAUCAAAGGAGCAAUCCGCUGAGAGAUGGGCUCGCGUCCGAUUAGAUAGUUGGUGGGGUAACGGCCUACCAAGUCAGCGAUCGGUAGCCGGACUGAGAGGUUGAACGGCCACAUUGGGACUGAGACACGGCCCAGACUCCUACGGGAGGCAGCAGUGGGGGAUAUUGCACAAUGGGCGAAAGCCUGAUGCAGCAACGCCGCGUGAGGGAAGACGGUUUUCGGAUUGUAAACCUCUGUCUUUGGUGAAGAAACAAAUGACGGUAGCCAAGGAGGAAGCCACGGCUAACUACGUGCCAGCAGCCGCGGUAAUACGUAGGUGGCAAGCGUUGUCCGGAAUUACUGGGUGUAAAGGGAGCGCAGGCGGGGAGACAAGUCCGCUGUGAAAACUAUGGGCUUAACCCAUAGACGGCAGUGGAAACUGUAUCUCUUGAGUGGAGUAGAGGCAGGCGGAAUUCCGAGUGUAGCGGUGAAAUGCGUAGAUAUUCGGAGGAACACCAGUGGCGAAGGCGGCCUGCUGGGCUCUAACUGACGCUGAGGCUCGAAAGUGUGGGGAGCAAACAGGAUUAGAUACCCUGGUAGUCCACACUGUAAACGAUGAUUGCUAGGUGUGGGGGGUCUAACCCCUUCCGUGCCGGAGCUAACGCAAUAA
rnacentral:rRNA from 1 species